rnacentral:rRNA from 1 species
GAUUAACGCUAGCGGCAGGCCUAAUACAUGCAAGUCGAACGGUAAAUAGGUAGCAAUAUCUAUGAGAGUGGCGCACGGGUGAGUAACGCGUAUGCAACCUACCUUUAACUGGGGGAUAGCUCAGAGAAAUCUGAAUUAAUACCGCAAUAAAAAUUAUUUAAAAUGGCAUCAAUUUAAAUAAUCAAAAACUCCGGUAGGUUAAAGAUGGGCAUGCGUGACAUUAGCUAGUUGGUAAGGAACGCUUACCAAGGCUACGAUGUCUAGGGGGUCUGAGAGGAUGACUCCCCA